rnacentral:rRNA from 1 species
UACGUAGGAUCCAAGCGUUAUCCGGAAUCAUUGGGCUUAAAGGGUCCGUAGGCGGUUUAUUAAGUCAGUGGUGAAAGCCCAUCGCUCAACGAUGGAACGGCCAUUGAUACUGAUAGACUUGAAUUAUUGGGAAGUAACUAGAAUAUGUAGUGUAGCGGUGAAAUGCUUAGAUAUUACAUGGAAUACCAAUUGCGAAGGCAGGUUACUACCAAUAUAUUGACGCUGAUGGACGAAAGCGUGGGGAGCGAACAGG